rnacentral:rRNA from 1 species
CAGCCGCCGCGGGAAUACGUAGGUGGCAAGCGUUGUCCGGAAUUAUUGGGGGUAAAGCGCGCGCAGGCGGAUCGGUCAGUCUGUCUUAAAAGUUCGGGGCUUAACCCCGUGAUGGGAUGGAAACUGCCAAUCUAGAGUAUCGGAGAGAAAAGUGGAAUUCCUAGUGUAGCGGUGAAAUGCGUAGAGAUUAGGAAGAACACCGGUGGCGAAGGCGACUUUCUGGACGAAAACUGACGCUGAGGCGCGAAAGCGUGGGGAGCAAACAGGAUUAGAGACCCCUGUAGUCCCUGUCUCUUAUACA